rnacentral:lncRNA from 1 species
AUUUAAAGUAAUGUUUUUAGUAAUAGUUUUAACUCAAGACUAAUUUUUGUUUUGUUUUAAUCAUAGCAAUGCAAGGGCAAUUCAGAUCCUGAAAUGCUAAAAACUACUUUCAGCAAAAUAUUCUGUAGAUUCAAAGAAAAACAUUUCCAGAGCAUUAAAGAUCUCAGGAGGCAAUAAAGCAGCCUCCCAUCUUGGGAAGUCCUCCAACAGGUAACUGGAACAAAAGAGGCUGGUUUUCACCUUUAGGGAAAAAGCAAAGACCGGGAUGAACAAAAGGAGGAAAUGAAUGAGAAAAGAAGGAAAACUGCUUGAAUUUUGACUCCGCACCUCCAUUCUUUUGUUUUAUCCCAAGUCCUCAUAUUUUUAGAAAGCCAUAAAGAAGGAGGGAGAAAGAAAAAAAACAGAGAGAGAGAGAAAGCUGGGGCCCAAGGGCCCCAAAACACCACUCCUAGUUAGAUAAAAUAGUAGCAGCUCUAUUCAAAGCUAUAAAAAGCUGCCAGAAGGGCCUCCAAGAUCACAUCCAAAAAUAGCUUCAAAUCACUCUCAGAGCAUAGCUCUGUCAGAGACAGACAGGGCAUUCAUUUCCUCAUCUUCAGUUCACUCCCCAAAUCAGAUAAUCUUUCUAAAGAAGGUACGUAUUGAAACACACCAAGUGGCCUGAUCAAGCAUAAGGCGUAAUCGGAACACACUGUAGAAUAAGCUCUUAGGUACAGAAAAUUUUUUGAAAUAGUUUUUACAUGGUCUCAAGUCCUAAUGGAUUUGGAUAUAAUGAAUAGAUGAAUAAUUAUCUGACUACAGAGCACUGAUUUCCCAAACAAACCCAUAGCAUAAAUUACAGGAGGAAAAAAAAGAAUAAAACCCAAACCAAAUGGAACAACCCUUCCAUAGAAGUCGUUGUAAAUUUUUUCCCCUACAAAGGCAAAAACUGGGAAGGAAAUAAAAGCCUUCCUGCUACUACUCACACCGAGAAAUGUGCAACACAUUCUAGCUUUACACUAUUCUUUUGUAGACAGUGAUGUAUUAAGUCUAGAAGUACUGGGCUAAAGUUACUACAGUGUUGGCUUAACUAUAUUUCUGAGGAGGUAAUUUACAAGGCUCGGCGCCUCA